rnacentral:siRNA from 1 species
GGUCCUGCUUUCGAGUGGGCCCA